rnacentral:lncRNA from 1 species
AAUCCGCCUGCCUCUGCUUCCAAUCUGGGAUUCUUAAAGACACUGAAAAUGAUGCUUUCGGCUUCUGAGAGACGUUUCCCAGUCAGAACUCUAUAUCCAGCAAAACUUCCAACUGAACACAAACGCAGAGCUCUUUCAGACAUUUACAGCCUGCGCACAGGAAGCGAGAUGGGCAGACACCCAGCCAAGACUUUACCAAGAGGGAAAUCCAGGAAACUGAGCUGAGCUGUGGUGUGCACAAGUGAAGGCAAGCUUCAGGGGAGGAGGGGGAUGUUCAGGCAAGCAAACACCUGCACUUCAAGCACACCUGCCCGAAGCCUCAGGCGACCCGGCGACUGUGACAAAACACCUGGUGCAGCUGGCUGAUUUGCAAGGUUUCACACACCCACGGAGUUUAGGCUCAGGUGCUAAACUAACGCUUCUGGAAAAAUAAAAACACUGAGGGUGUAGCUCACCGCAGAGCAUGCGAUUCCAGGUACAACACCCACGUCCCCUGCCCCACUCACUGUAUUGCACAAAUGGCUGAUAAGAACAGCCAUUUGGAGUCAUAGCGACUGUGACCACUGCACUCAGGAAAAUUACUCAGAGGAGGCCCCGGCGUAGAGACUUAAGGGUAUUGGGAAGUCAACACUUAAUUUCAAAACCUAAAACGUGAGAAGUGGCGGCAGUGGCUCACCACUUUGGAAGUGGCUCCCCUAGAAGUUGGGGGAGACAUUCAGAAUGCCUUGGCAUCACAACACCUUCCCCUUCUCCCCAAAUAUAUGCUUUUUUGCACCUUCUUGGCAGGGCCCAAGACCCUUGCUCUCUGCCUCACUCCAGACAGGUCUUUCCUGUCUCCUCGCCUGUGGGGACGAGGUUAAGCCUGGUACUUGGAAGCACUUGGUGUUGAAGUGGAUUUUAAUCUGAGAGGCCUGGCGCAACCCCCUUACGGUCCUUUGAAGAGUGCUCAAGAAAAGCCACAUUCCUGGCGCCCUAAGUGCAAGCUGGAGGUACGAAGCUGAAACUGAGUGGUCAAUCUUCUGAAAAUGGAUAUUCCAUUUCAAGAGGCCACUUCAGCUUUUAAUCAGCUCCUCCUUCUCUUUUAUUGUUAACAUUAAACAUUAAGACAUCUUUCUAGGGGUUGAAGAGAUGCCUCAGCGGUUAAGAGUGCUUACAGCUCUUGAAGGGGACCUGGAUUCCUAACUCAAGAUAGAUGGCUCACAGCAGUCACUCCAGGUCCAGGGGAUCUGAUGCCCUCUUCUGGCCGCGGUGAGCAUUGCAUGAGCACAGUACAUACAGAAACCAGCCAAAGCUCACACAGAAAAACGAAAAUACAUCCUUUAUUUUUU